GUGAUUGACUUUCCAUAACAGUUAAUAUAAAGCUUUAUCACAUCUCAUGAUAUGGAUCUAAAUAGUUAAAAUCUGAGAAACAAUUGCUAGAAAUUUUUAUUUGCUGACAACUGACAUGCAUUAGGAGCAUAACUGUUUAACCCUAAGUAAUCCUAAACCUUAAAACACUGGACUGGAAAACAAUUCUUUAUCAUGUAAAAGUUUUGGAUGUCAAUAGAAAAAAAGGAUUAAUGUUUUCUUAAACUAAUAAGGACUGACUCAAUUCAACUCAACUCAACUUAACUCAAUUAAGCUUUUAUCCCAA
rnacentral:misc_RNA from 1 species